rnacentral:tRNA from 1 species
AGCCCCGUAGUGUAGUGGCCAAGGCUAGUCAUACGAGAUUUUGGGUCUUGUGACCUCGGUUCGAAUCCGGGCGGGGCUA